UUGCUCGGAGACAUUCUGAGUUUUGAGUGGGCUUGAUGCUGGCAUCUUUUUGAUGCAUGUGCUCAGCCCCGCUCUCAAAUCCACUCAACACCUGUGCACUUUCAAAGUUGUAGUCCUCCGUAAUGGGAGUCGCAAGUCUUUUUUGACUUGCUGGGACUGCGCUUUGCCAUUUAUCACAAACGAUAUUCAUUGUUUUGUAGAAUGUCUAGCCUCAUUGUAGGUGAAACUUAAUACAACUUUCAACAACGGAUCUCUUGGCUCUCGCAUCGAUGAAGAACGCAGCGAAAUGCGAUAAGUAAUGUGAAUUGCAGAAUUCAGUGAAUCAUCGAAUCUUUGAACGCACCUUGCGCUCCUUGGUAUUCCGAGGAGCAUGCCUGUUUGAGUGUCGUGAAAUUAUCAACUCCUAUUCUUUAUUGAAUGGUGAGCUUGGAUUUGGAGAUUGCUGGUGAAAAUCGGCUUCUCUUGAAUGAAUUAGCUGGAAUUUGAUUCGCAGCAUAUAUGCGGUGUGAUAAUGUCGUCACUGUGUAGCUCGGAUUGUCUGGCUUCUAAUCGUCUUUCAUGGACAAUUUGAUCAUUUUGACCUCAAAUCAGGUAGGACUACCCGCUGAACUUAAGCAUAUCAAAAAGCGGAGGAACCCCCC
rnacentral:rRNA from 1 species